ensembl:snoRNA
AUACUUUUGUGUUUCUUAACUAUGACGAUUAGGUUUUCACACUUGUGUGUGAGAUAUGCCUUUCACAAACCAUGGUACACUGUCUGGACAUUACCCACUUAACA